UACGGAGGGUGCAAGCGUUGUUCGGAAUCACUGGGCGUAAAGCGCGUGUAGGCGGCCUCGUAAGUCUGAUGUGAAAGCCCGGGGCUUACCCCCGGAAGUGCAUUGGAAACUGGGAGGCUGGAGUACCGGAGAGGAAGGUGGAAUUCCUGGUGUAGCGGUGAAAUGCGUAGAUAUCAGGAGGAACACCGGUGGCGAAGGCGGCCUUCUGGACGGAUACUGACGCUGAGACGCGAAAGCGUGGGGAGCAAACAGG
rnacentral:rRNA from 1 species